CGAUUAAUUUAUUUGUAUAGGUGUUGAAUUUUGCCCCAUGCCAUCAACAUAAGGUCUGCGAGUUCAAAUAUGCGGAUUGAAAGUCUGGUUAAUGGCGGUCUUAACUAUAAGGAUCCUAAGGUAGCGAAAUUUAUUGUCCGUUAAAUGCGGUCCCGCAUGAAUAAAGUAACGAUGGUCUCACUGUCUCUACAAGCAUCUCAGUGAAAUUGAAUUAGCCGUGCAGAUGCGGCUUACCUCCGGGUGGACGGGAAGACCCUAUGCAGCUUCUACUG
rnacentral:rRNA from 1 species